rnacentral:rRNA from 1 species
UACAGAGGUCUCAAGCGUUGUUCGGAUUCAUUGGGCGUAAAGGGCGCGUAGGCGGCUCGGUAAGUCGGGUGUGAAAUCUCGGAGCUUAACUCCGAAACUGCAUUCGAUACUGCCGUGCUUGAGGACUGGAGAGGAGACUGGAAUUUACGGUGUAGCGGUGAAAUGCGUAGAUAUCGUAAGGAAGACCAGUGGCGAAGGCGGGUCUCUGGGCAGUUCCUGACGCUGAGGCACGAAGGCCUGGGGAGCAAACGGG